CAGAAGGUUACAAUACCCUACAACACCACUGCGAACCGUUCCCUUUUAGCUGCCCUCGGCAGGCCAUCCCCAGGGCGGGGAUUUCCGGGCCUCCUUUGGGGGGCGCCCGCCGGCGGUGCGCACAUAUCUAGCUCUGUCUCUCAGCGGAUUUCUGAGUGAUUUUAAAAAACCUUGUAA
rnacentral:misc_RNA from 1 species